rnacentral:rRNA from 1 species
CACAUGCAAGUCGAACGCUGAAGCCUAGCUUGAUGGGUGGAUGAGUGGCGAACGGGUGAGUAACACGUGAGUAACCUGCCCCCUUCUUUGGGAUAACGCCCGGAAACGGGUGCUAAUACUGGAUAUUCACUGGUCUUCGCAUGGGGGUUGGUGGAAAGGUUUUUUCUGGUGGGGGAUGGGCUCGCGGCCUAUCAGCUUGUUGGUGGGGUGAUGGCCUACCAAGGCUUUGACGGGUAGCCGGCCUGAGAGGGUGACCGGUCACAUUGGGACUGAGAUACGGCCCAGACUCCUACGGGAGGCAGCAGUGGGGAAUAUUGCACAAUGGGCGAAAGCCUGAUGCAGCGACGCCGCGUGAGGGAUGGAGGCCUUCGGGUUGUAAACCUCUUUCGCUCAUGGUCAAGCCGCAACACAUGGUUGUGGUGAGGGUAGUGGGUAAAGAAGCGCCGGCUAACUACGUGCCAGCAGCCGCGGUAAUACGUAGGGCGCGAGCGUUGUCCGGAAUUAUUGGGCGUAAAGGGCUUGUAGGCGGUUGGUCGCGUCUGCCGUGAAAUCCUCUGGCUUAAUUGGGGGCGUGCGGUGGGUACGGGCUGACUUGAGUGCGGUAGGGGAGACUGGAACUCCUGGUGUAGCGGUGGAAUGCGCAGAUAUCAGGAAGAACACCGGUGGCGAAGGCGGGUCUCUGGGCCGUUACUGACGCUGAGGAGCGAAAGCGUGGGGAGCGAACAGGAUUAGAUACCCUGGUAGUCCACGCUGUAAACGUUGGGCACUAGGUGUGGGGGCCACCCGUGGUUUCUGCGCCGUAGCUAACGCUUUAAGUGCCCCGCCUGGGGAGUACGGCCGCAAGGCUAAAACUCAAAGGAAUUGACGGGGGCCCGC